GGGGUUAAGGAGAGGACAGGGGGAGGCAGAGUCGCCGGCCUACGACGGCGGCGUGCCGUCUGUGGCGGCGGCAGGAGGCUGAGAAGGGAGAAGGGAGAGGGGUGAGGGGAGAGCGGCUGAGAGAGAGAAGGAGUGAAGAGCGUGGUGCGUGAGUUAUGUGGGUGUGUUGGAGAAUGAGAGUUAAAGUAGGGGAAAUGGGGAAAUGAAAUGGGCUUUGGGCUUAGUUUGGUUUUAAAUUGAAUGGGCUUUAAUUGGGGCUUAAUUUUAUUAGAUGAUUGGGCUAUAAUUUGAUUAAUUAUUGCACUAAUUUAUUUUAUCAAAAGGCUUGCAUUUGCAUAUUAUUUUACAAAGAAUGUCAUAUUUGGACUUCAUAUUUUAAUUUUCAUUAUUAAGUUGGACUUGAUUUUAUUAAAUCCCAACUCAAAUUUUUAAAGAAGCAUGCAUUUUAUUAUUUGGUUCAUUAGACCAAUUAUUUUCAAAUGAUUAUAUGAUAAUAAAUUUUUAAAAUUUAAACUAUUAUUAUUAUUUUAUAAAUUCAGUUAGGCCCUUAUAUUUUUAUUAUCUGAAUUUAUCUGACUAGGUGCGGCGCGACUAGGACGUAAAUUUUGAUUUAAUUACUCAAGUUAGCAUACAAGUUGAAGUUCAAAAAUUCAGGUGUGGGAUUUAUUUCAGUACAUGCUGUGGUUAAUCUUUGUCCAUUUUAAUAUCAUGUGUUUACCAUAUGUGAGUUGCAUUAAAUUAUAUCGCUAGGGGCCCGCUCAAUGGGUCCAGGACUUCACCGUCCUUGGUAUGCCACAAUGCGAUUUCAUGUUAAAGUUAUGGUUGCAACCAGUCGCCAGGGGCCGGCUCAAUCGGUCCAGGACGGAAAGGUCCUUGGUAUGCCACAGUGCGACUUUCAGUUACGAAUGUAUUGAUCAUAUGUGAUUCUCAUUUUAUUAACGUGGACAAUGAUUGCAUGUUUCCCACACUGAGUGUACCCUGUAUGCUCAUCCCAUACUUAACAUUUUCAGGUUUCAAAGGCCGGAGGCGCGUGGAAGGUCGAAUGGCGAACCAAAUAUUUUGUAUUUAGCUUUAACUAAAAAUGUUAUUUUGAGUAAAGUAUGUUUAAAUAAAAAUGUAUUUCUUUAUUUUCACAUUAAAUAUUUAUUUAUAUGCAUAGUUUUUCCGCGUGCGUUUUCAUUUAAAAUUAAAAUGGAUUUGGGUGUCACAAGGUGGUAUCAGAGCAGGUCUACUUUCCUGUAGACUCUGCAAAAUAAAAAUUUUCUUAAAAUGUUUUUAAGUCAAGUAUGACAAAUCCAUUCGACCUCUACGUGCUCCGACAUCAAGGUAAAGAUAUUUCAAAUAUUUUUCAAGGGGAUGAGUAUAAAUUAUUUACGUUGAAAGUAUGUUGAGUUUUGCUGCAAUGAUUGAAGUAUUAUCAGAAAGUUCAAGUUCAGUAUGCAAGUUAUUAUGAGAAAGUUCAGUAUUCAUGUUAUUAUGUUGAAGAUUAUUGCAGCUAUGAAUUGUCAAAUUUCGAGGACGAAAUUUUUUUAAGUGGGUAGGUUUGUCACAGCCCAAAACCGUUUACUUCCUUUGCAAAUUUUAUUUGAAAAUUAGUAUAUUUUUGAGUUAUUAAAAUAUAUAUCUAUGAGUCGAGUUGUGAUAAAUCUAGUCGCGCCCCUAGUUAGAUAGUUAAUUUUAAGUUACAAAUUUUAAUUUUAGUAAAUAGUAAAUUUAUUUCUCAAAGAAUAGGCCAUGUAUAUACAUAAUCGUAUAAUUUCCUAUAUUGGGCCUUAAUUCUUAUAUAACUACUUACCAUUAUUGGGCCUGAAUAAAUUUCUCUAUAUUGGGCCUCAAUUACUUUUGUUGGCCUAAAGUAUUAUGAGCCCAUCUCAUUUUAGAAAAAAAUCAUUAGCAUUUAUAUUUCUUCUUUACUUACUGUUUUGAAAUUUCUACCGUUUCUAAUUGAAACAAUAGCUACGUGUUUUCUCCCUAGCCACAAUUCCAUUUUUCAUCUUCAGCCACUUAAUUUCUCUUUUCCUUUUUCAGCCACAUGAUUUUACUUAAAAAUCUUCAGCCACAAAUUUAAUUUCGUGCAGCCCAAGAAUUGAGUACUAUUUAAACACAAAUCACCCGAAUUUGUAUACCAGCAAUUUUCUCUUCAUCUGUUCACUUCACCAUAUAAACUCAAUCUGCCAUUUCUCACUGCACAUCAUCAAUCGGUAAUUUUAAUAUUUUCUGUGCGGCGCGACUAGGACGUAAAUUUUGAUUUAAUUACUCAAGUUAGCAUACAAGUUGAAGUUCAAGUUGAAGUUCAAAAAUUCAGGUGUGGGAUUUAUUUCAGUACAUGCUGUGGUUAAUCUUUGUCCAUUUUAAUAUCAUGUGUUUACCAUAUGUGAGUUGCAUUAAAUUAUAUCGCUAGGGGCCCGCUCAAUGGGUCCAGGACUUCACCGUCCUUGGUAUGCCACAAUGCGAUUUCAUGUUAAAGUUAUGGUUGCAACCAGUCGCCAGGGGCCGGCUCAAUCGGUCCAGGACGGAAAGGUCCUUGGUAUGCCACAGUGCGACUUUCAGUUACGAAUGUAUUGAUCAUAUGUGAUUCUCAUUUUAUUAACGUGGACAAUGAUUGCAUGUU